AUUGAACGCUGGCGGCAGGCCUAGCACAUGCAAGUCGAGCGGAUGAAGGGAGCUUGCUCCUGGAUUCAGCGGCGGACGGGUGAGUAAUGCCUAGGAAUCUGCCUGGUAGUGGGGGAUAACGUCCGGAAACGGGCGCUAAUACCGCAUACGUCCUGAGGGAGAAAGUGGGGGAUCUUCGGACCUCACGCUCUCAGAUGAGCCUAGGUCGGAUUAGCUAGUUGGUGGGGUAAAGGCCUACCAAGGCGACGAUCCGUAACUGGUCUGAGAGGAUGAUCAGUCACACUGGAACUGAGACACGGUCCAGACUACUACGGGAGGCAGCAGUGGGGAAUAUGGGACAAUGGGCGAAAGCCUGAUCCAGCCAUGCCGCGUGUGUGAAGAAGGUCUUCGGAUUGGAAAGCACUUUAAGUUGGGAGGAAGGGCAGUAAGUUAAUACCUUGCUGUUUUGACGUUACCAACAGAAUAAGCACCGGCUAACUUCGUG
rnacentral:rRNA from 1 species